CCGCGCCCCCUGGGGGCCGUUGAGGGGAGUCUCAGCCCGGCCGCCAUUUUAUUUCCUUUCUCGCCUCGCUUCGAAAUACACCUUAAAACAUCUGAAAUGAGCUGUGCGAGUGCAAAUCUGAGAGGGAGGCGGCUGUUCCUGAGCACUGCCAGCCUCAUCUGGGUCUCCAGCCUGUCACAGAACGGGUCAGCUUGGAAGAGACCACAGUGGUGGUCCCUUCUCAAGCAGGGUCAUCCCAGAGAGUGUGGCACAAGAUUGCAAUAAGAUGGUUGUGUAAUGCUCCAGUGAGGGACACUCUGCAGCCUUUCUGGGCAAGGUAUUCCAUGUGUGAUCAUCAGCACAAUAAAGAAGUUCUUCCUCAUACUCAGGAACUCAUUCUACUCUCAGAGGAAGGGGGACACAUGGAGACUGUGUGGUCCUGUGUGCCUGAACAAUGAUCCAGGUCCAUUUCUGUACCUUGCACUGCAGGAGAAGACACUUUCCUUGUUCUCAUUGUGUGAUUCUAGGCACUCAUAUGCUGACCCAGGAGGUGCAAGCACUGACUCCAGGGACCAGUUUUCUUUUUCUGGAAGAACAUAGCAGACUGACUGUAUUUUCUGAAGAUCAGACUUUUCUGCUUUCCUGCCAAUGCCUAGAGCUGAAAGUGGAACUGAUGUUUUGAAACCUCCUUAAGACCAAUUUCCCUCACUUCUUUAGUUUUAUAAAUAGAGGCUUUUGGCUUUAAGAAUUUGAUGACUCCUUUCCAGUGAAAACUCCUGAAUAUGAAAGGCCCCAUAGAAUUCAACAUGUUUUGGCAAGAAUUACUCAUUUUGUAGGAAAAGACUCGCUUUCAUCUUCUAGAUAGUUCUGCCAUUUAAGGGCUGUGCUCCUCCGAUGGCGCUCUGGCAUUUCUACAGCUAUAUAUGGAGUCUCUUUGGUGCUUGCUUGUGUUAUCCUCAGAGCUGAGUAAAGGCCAGGCCAGGAAGCCUUUGAUUGUAAAUCUCCCCAGGCCACCUUGGUGCCCUUCCUGAAUGAAGCAAAGGGGGAGCAAAGCAAGGUUUCUGUCGUGCAGGCUGCGGGAGCUGACUGCCACAGGUAUGGCAGAAGCCCAAUUGUUCCCCAUUUACAAGGUGAGGAUAUUAAUCAUUAAACUUCACAAGUCAUAAGUAUGCAUAUCUGAUGGCUAAAUGGCCCAAAAAAUAUAUUUUUUUUGCCCUGGCUGAAGAGAGUCCCUUUCCUGUGACUCACUGUCUCCGGGGCAGGUCACAAUGAAACUUGACAGUCUUUAUAGACUUUCUGUAGGUAUCUCACAAACAUUGCACAUUUUUGUUUAUUUUUCAGUCUGUUUUCUUAGCCAUUUGAGACUGACUUCCUCAACAGCUAUCUUUACCUUGAGGUACAGAGCUUGCCAAAAACAAAGGGAAGUAAAAUUAGGAAAGGAAAUUUACAGUGUAAUUAGGUUUUUCUUUCUGCCAGAAUCAAACUGAAAGUUUUCAUCUGUUUCUAUUAUUUAUUCAUUUUCAUUUCUUAAACAGACGUGUUUUAAUGGAUGGUUUUGUGUCAGAUAGAUUGGUCUUAAUGGUACAAUCUUUAGUAAGGUGGGGUUUUUAUAGUAAUUUACAUUUUUUGAAUGUAGUAGCUCUCCCUUGACUACCCUGCACAGAAGCCACUCUACUGCAGUGCUCAGAACAUGUUGGUUCUCCUACAGUCUUCUAUUACAGAAUUUGUCUUUAUCUUUAAAGAUAUGAUGGAUUUAACUUUUAGUUCUGUAAUUUCUCAGUCGUGUCCCUGCUUUUGGUAACAGGGCUUGCAGCCACUUUGCUGGAUGCUGACCUUGAUCAGGAGAGAGGGGCUUGCUGGAAAAGCUUCACUUCCACUUUGAUGAAAGUUGGUGAGGCUGAGUCAGUCAGAACAUCUUCCUGUUCUACCUUGCCAGUGAUUUAUGGAGAGACAUGAAGUUUUGUGCUUUGAAAGUCAUGUAGUAUGUGCACACAAAAUGAAGCCUGGGGUUUCUGGGGAAAAGCACAAUGUUGUAAACCGGACACUUGUGAAACGGUGACAAAUGUAUUUGCUUAUCUGCAGCCUUAGGUUGGACAGGUUUACUUCCUACAAAAGAUCAUCUGAGGAUGGGGACAUUGAAGUCACCGAAUCUGAAAAGAUGUGGUGACUCAGACAGUUUCAAGAAGCUUGUGGGAGCAGUGCAGUUCAGUAAAAUUAACUUCCUGCCAGUGCAGUUACUGCCACUGUUUGUCAUUACCAAGUGUGAAACCUGAGGAGAUGGUGUCAAAAGUUCAGGUUCUGAUGGGUUGAACAGGGAAUAACCAGGGCUGUGGGAAAGGAAAGAAGUGAGAGAAAGGAGAAGCAGCCCCCCAGAAUUAAACCAAAUAUACUAAUUUGAUAAGUAAGGGAGGGAGAGUUUCCUCUGGUUCAGCUGGAUCAAAAUACUCAACUGCCUGCUGCUGCCAUAUGGCCUGUGUAGAGACAAAAAAUUGUCUCCAGCAUAGUCUGUUCCUUUCCUCACUCAUUGCUUUGCCUUUGCAACUCAGAAAACUGCUGCCUUCCUCUCCUGCCCUCACUGUUCCUUCAUAUUCCUCUGAAAUAUUUCCCAUGACCUUUCUCCUACCAUUUUUCAGGUAUCUUGCUUCACACACACACACACACACACACACACAGUUCUUUUCCCUAACCUCCCUAUACUGCUCUUAGCCCCUCAUUGCUGAGGUGGAACGAGGUGCUGGUACCCAGAAGUGCCACCAAAAAUGGGGAAUGUGGGCCUGGAUAAUGUACAUCCAGUGAGUGGGAAGCAUUCUUGCUUCCAGAGAGCUCCCUCCUUAGAUCUGUUUGGCAAAGAAAGCUGCUUGUAUUGCACACAGGGGACCUGACUGAUGGGAUGUCUGUAAUAGUGCUGGAAAGAAAAAUCCUCUGAGUCCUUUGCCAUCCUUGCACUGCAGAAGCUUGGUCUAUAACUCUUGAAUGAUUUUGUCUGUCUCUGCCACAGGACAUACAACUCCAUCAAACUUACAUAAACGUACUUUGUAGAAAUUUAUAUGAUUAACUGAUUGACAAAGUGUCACGUCCCUGUCUGUUCUGAGAAAAUAUGGGGGCUUUGAGAUUAUUUCCUUUCUGAACUUUCUCUUACCUGAAAGCAGAAAUCCUGUUAAAAUGUAUUAAGACACAGUUGGACCCAUCUUCCUGUUCUACCUCACCAGUGAUUUAUGGAGAGAUGUGGAGUUUUGUGCUUUGAAUAAUCGAGUGACAAACUAAACAAGGAAACUGCUGUCUACUGAAGCAAUGGGCACUGCUGCUGACCUUCAGCUUUGAUGAGAGUAACAAUCAACUGGUGCCUAACUGAGACCAGCAUCCUCGGGUGCCUGGGGCAGGGAUUUUGAGUCCCAAAGAGCUUCCUGUGUGGGGGAGCCUUCCAAGUACUGUAUCAUUAUGGAAUUCUUCUGAAAAGACACGCCUCAUCUGAGAAAACCAAGAUAUUCCAUCAGAACUGUGCAGUGUGAGAUCCCUCCAGAAUCCACAGUGGAAAAAAAAUUAUCCUGGUGUUAUUGGAGACAUCAGCAUGCCUUUUCUGCUGUGCUUGAAAAAAAAGAAGUCACCUGUGCCUUUAGGCAGGAGUAUCUUUCAAAAACACACCCCUCCCAUCCAGCAGAACUACCAGGCUUUGCUGGAGUCGUGCUUGAAGAACAAAUGCUUGUUCACAGAUGACACCUUCCCUGCUCACAUCAGCUCCAUUGGAACAGGAGCACUGCUAAAGAAACUGCCCCACAAUUUACAGUGGAAGAGGCCACACGCUUUGCACAAGAGUCCUGUAUUUUAUGCUGCACACAGAAAGCAGCCUGAUCUCUGCCAAGGAUUGGUGGAGAACUGCUGGUUCCUGGCGGCCCUGGAAGCCCUGACAUUCCACCAGGACAUCUUGGCUGCAGUUGUGCCACAAAACCAGAGCUUUGAGAGGAAAUACGCGGGCAUUUUCCACUUCCGGUUCUGGCACUUUGGGGAAUGGAUUGACGUGGUGGUUGAUGAUCUCCUGCCGGUGAAUGAGGCCGGCGAGCUGCUCUUUGUGUCCUCAGUCUAUAAGAACGUGUUUUGGGGAGCCCUUCUGGAAAAGGCAUAUGCUAAACUCUAUGGCUCCUAUGAAGAUCUGCAGAUUGGGCAAGUUUCAGAAGCCUUGGUGGAUUUUACAGGGGGUGUCAAUACAAGGAUCAAGCUUGCAGAAGCUCCUCCAGAUCUGUGGAAUAUACUGACAAGAGCCACCUACAGCAGAUCUCUCAUGGGCUGUCAGACACACUUAGGGACAACAAAGGUCCUGAAGAAUGGGCUUGUUGCUGGCCAUGCCUAUACAGUAACUGGUAUUAGAAAGGUGACCUGUCAAUAUGGACCUGAAAACCUAGUGAGACUGAGAAAUCCAUGGGGAAAAAUCGAGUGGAAAGGAGACUGGAGUGACAGCUCUUACAAGUGGGAGCUGCUGAGCCCGAAGGAGAAGAUUUUACUGAGGAAAAAGAAGGAUGAUGGAGAAUUCUGGAUGUCUCUGCGAGAUUUUAAGAUUCAUUUUGUAGAUCUGGUGAUCUGUAAGUUAACUCCAGACCUGAUGAGCCAGGAAGAUGGGAAAAAGUGGAUGUACUCCUUGAAGAGUGGGAGAUGGGUUAAAGGAAGUACAGCAGGAGGAAGUCUGGGAUUCUGUAAUGGCAACUUUUGGAUGAACCCUCAGUACUGGCUGAAUGUGUUGCCAGUUGAAGACAGUAAGAAAAGCCCAAGUACGUGCAAUGUGGUUAUAUCCCUCAUGCAGAAACACAGCACCAAACACCGGAACCGAGCCCCUCACCUUUUCAUUGGAUUUUUACUCUAUAAGGUGGGCCUACAGUACCAGGAGAGCAACAGAAAGCUGCCCCCAGGUUUCUUCACCCGACAUCAGCCUGUGAACAAGCACCAGGUUUUCCUUGAUGAGCGGGAAGUGACUCACGACUUCCAUCUGGAACCUUGUGUCUAUGUGAUUGUCCCAUCCACCCUGGAGCCUCAGCAGGAGUCUGAGUUCAUCCUGAGGGUCUUCUCCAGGAAGCACAUUCUUCGGGAAAUGGGCGGGAACACGAGCUUCACCCUCUCUAAGGAAAUUGUUGAUAGGUAUGAAGGCAAGAUUUGGGAGGAUUUCUUCACAAAGCAUUUUGAGCAGAAUCCUGAAAUAAAUGCUGUUCAGCUCCAGAGGAUCUUGAAUAAUAUAUCUUGGAGAAAUUUCCAGAGUUUUCGCCUGAAUUUCAGUCUGGAUUCCUGCCAGGGUAUCUUGGCACUCCUGGAUCUGAAUGCCACUGGCACACUGAGUAUCCAGGAAUUCAGAGUCCUGUGGAAGAGGCUGCUUUUCUAUUUGGAAGUUUUCCAGAAGAGAGACACCAAGAGAUCAGGAAAGCUUGACCUUGUGGAACUGCAUGCAGCUGUACAGGAGACAGGCAUUUCACUCAGCAAUGAAGUCUGUAAUUUGAUGGCAAUCAGAUAUGGUGACCCUGACUUACAGAUCAGUUUUGAGAGCUUUGUUUGCUUCAUGCUUCGAGUGGAGAUCAUGGGAGUGCCUUCCUACAGACAUCCAAGCUGUCAUAUCAGAGAGUGAUUAAGCUCUGCACAUUUGCACUGGCCUUCUGUAAUAAGAGAGGCCUUUCGCAACCUAACACAAGAUGGCAAAGGGAUAUACCUGCGGGAGUCUGAGUGGAUGAUGAUGACACUUUAUUCCUGAAGCAAGGCUGUCGAGGAGGAGACAACCAGACCGGUACCAGGAUGAGGAAGGCUGCCUUCUUUCAACUUUUUACUUCAUAUGAAAAGUCUUCCUCAAGCAGACUUAACAUGAUAACCACAGACUUGGUUAACUGAAGUUUUAUUAAUUAAUGUAUUUAUUUUGAGUCCUAUUUCACUUCAGACAACCCUGCUAAGGAGAGACCAUUGGAUGCCAAUUACCACAAGUGACAACCUGGAGCAUGGUGGCUGAGUUUUUGGGGUCACCUACUUCAUGCUGAUGUAAUGCUGCUGUUAUAGGCACACAUUGUGGCAGUGCCCAGAGGCUGUGCUUGGUGGUGGGGCUCUUGAAUCUGGCAGGGAAAAGGCCUCUGUCCUGAGUAGCUUGUCACCUGAUAGAGGGAUCACAGUUCUGUAGCUGCUAGGCCCAUGAUAGAGAGCUGGAAUCUGUGAAUUUCUGAGAAAGGAAGAGACUCACAGAAUGAAUGAACACUCUUCCCUAGCCCUGACUUGGAAAAGUGAUUUGCAAGCAUUUAAACCAUCUCUUUUGCUUUUGUAAGUUAACAUUGCCAUAUUGAAAUGGUCUUGAUUUGAUUUGACCAAGUGAUGAGCUGAGUCUCCAGCUGUUUGUUGUGUGAUGAUUGUGUAUUUAUUUCAGAAAGGCAGUGAGUUUUCUCUGCAGAUUGAAAAGUACAGUACACUGAAAAGUAAACUGAUCCCAUAUUAACAGACUAGCAAGGAAUUAAUGUUUUCAGUAGGGUGAUACAGGAGCUGUCUGAUAAAAUAUUUGGAUAUUUAUUUUCUAUAGGAUAUGUGUGUGUGUGUACUUCUAAAGGAUGCAGGUAAAUGUGGGUUGUAGCUAAUUGAAUAGUACAACCCAGGUGCAUGGCUGUGAGCAGCAUUAAAGAGCGUGGUAUAAGUGGGACUAUUCACAUCAAAAUCCAUGAGAGAGUUACUUGAUGCAUCAGUCUCUAGGAUCCUUUUCCACUUUUUUACCAUUCAUUUAUUUGGGCUGGAAAUUUCCAGGCUAAGUGACUGUUACAGGUUGAUGCUUUGAUUUUUUUUUCUUUUUUUUCCCUUUUUUUGCAUUCCUGCAGACAGCUCAAUUGAGGCUCUUUUACAGUGCACAGCCUAGUCUGAGUCUGGGUGCUAAAUGAAACAGAGCUCCAAUGGGAAUGAACAUAUAAUGAAACAUUGCACUCUAAUACCUUUGUAGGAAGGAGUUAUAUUAAGCUUGCUUAGGCAGCCUUCCCUCUGGCUUUUGGUGACUUUUAGGUGCUUAAUCUCAUAAAUAUUUUUUCAGAGUGUAUAUGAUAUUCAGGAAUGAGGUGGACUGUGGAUAAGAAAGUGAACAUGGGCAUGACUGAGCUCAGGCAUGUGCUUGCCACCGCACUGAGGCCUGAGCAAUAGUAUAAGCAUAUUUAUAGAGGAACUCCUUUGCAUAUAAGUGUUCCCAGUCAGGAGGCAUUAAGCAGUAAAAACAACAGCAUGCACUUUAUUCCCCAGAACAAUCUGUUUCUAAGCAAUAUCAUUUUCAUCCUGUUUUUUAUGAGAAAACUGUUAGAACCAGAUAAAUAGAUGGCUGUGUUGGUACUUGUUUAUUACAGAUGAUAUAUCUAUCAUCUAUUGGGAGCGACCUGCUGGGGAGUCACAGGGUUCAGACUGUGGAGCAGAGCAGGUUGGAGGGAGCAGGGACACCCAGAGCCCCUGGAGCAGCCGAGGGCUCCGUGUCCCACUGGGCUCCCAGAGAGGCUCCUGAGGAGGCUCCAUCAGCAGCUCCCUUCUCAACGCACGUCUCUGUUUCCUUUUGUGACUCGCAGCUGAACAUGAUGGUGCAAACUAAAUUAGCCUGAUUUAAUUUGCACUCAGCUCAGCAGGGGAUGUUAUAAACACUGAUUUACUGUGUGCAGGAGCAGCGUUGGAAGAACCAAAAGCAUUGGUUGAGGGAGUGUAGGUCCCGCUUUUCUCAGCAUGUUUUGGAAAGGAUUAUCCCUGGCACCCGUGGGAGUGCCCAGGGGGAUCUGUGUGAGUGCAGAGUGUUCACAGCAGGCUCUGUUGGACACAAUGGGAGGGAAAUCUCUCAGUCCCAACUGUGUUUGUUGCACAUUUAGGGCUGGGAGCGUGCUGGACGUAGCUCCACCACAGGCUGUGUGCAAAACUGGUGCAGGACACCCAGUUUCAAAUUGCAGUUCAUUUUAAUGUUGUACACAUUGUUUUUUCUAUCAGAUUUUGUACUUAUUUACUUCACACCUCUUUAAUGCAGAGAGAUGUAAUUGCAGGGAGAUUAUUUUGCUAUUGAUUACUUGAUCCAGGAAAGAAACAGAAUUCAUCCAUGCCAUGAAUCACUAAACAUUUGCAGCAAUAAACUUUAUUGAGCCAUGUGA